rnacentral:snRNA from 1 species
UGGCUACCGCGGCUGGCGGCA